GUGAAAUAUCUUGACAAGAUCAUAAAACAACCAAAUUGGACCGUUACCAGGUAGCCACGACCCACCCCUGAGAACAAACUCAGAAAAAUAUGUAAAAGAUAUAGCUAAUAUAGCGACCAUAUCCACGUCCAUAAUACAACCAUAAUGCAUAUCCACGUCCAUGUCUUCCUGAUAUGCUUCUACGACACACUUCUCUAGGACUGGACUUAAGAGGGCUACUACACCAACAAACAUAAGCAUCCGAUAAUUGCCUAUUCUUCUGAUUUAUUUGUAGGUUUUUAUACUAUACCAAGGUUGGGGGCUACGAAGAAGUGAAUCUUGAGGAGGCAUCAUCGAUCUGUAUUGAGGACUCUAGAUCUCUGAUCGAUCCUCUUAGUGCAAGGAGCCACACCAUCUGUAAACCAUUGUAGGAUACUACAAAAUGGAUAAAAUUUCAUUCAACAUAAGUGCAUAACAAUAGUAAGUCAUUCAAGGGAAAUCUUAACAAGUAAACAAAUUAAUGUUACCAUUAUUCAAAAAGGAAAGAUGCCUACUCAUUUUGAAAAGAGUAUGCCUACCCAUUUUUAAAAGAGCAUGCCUACUCAUUGUCGUAGCCUUGGUGUCAUCAGAAAGAGCCUAUCUAUGUAAUAAAACGCUCACUGGAAAACCUCAAUUGCAAGAGCAAUCAGGUAGCAAGGCUCAAACAAAAGAUGUAAAGCAACAAGUGAUAUAUCUGAUUGUCUUCCUCUCCAUGUUGUGUCUUCUCUUCUUCUCACUUCCCCCUAGGCAGCAACCAUCGUGAUACCUAUUUGCAGUGGCGGAGUUACCUAAAAAAUGUUGGCGGGCUGGAUAGUGCAAAUAGCACCACCAAACUAAAAAUCAAUGCAAUAUUGUGGGAUAAACUUCAUGUAAAACUCCUUUUCGCUCUAGCCCAGGGCGGGCCAUGGCCCUUUGAGCCUUGCCAUAGCUCCACUGGUGCCUAUUUGCUUGUCUUCCCUACCAUGUUUUAGGAGUGUAUGAAGGCUGGUGCAAAUAAUCCCAAUUUACACAAUGGGGAAUGCCGGUAAAAGAUAGAUCGAUUGGACUCACAUAAGCUGGCACAUAGUUUACUAUGACUAAUCACUCUGUUAACUGAUGAGAGUGUAAACACAUGCUGUUGGCUAGUAGCUAAUACUGUAGAAAUAGAAAUAUAAUUUGGCAUUGUAAAGGUGAUCCCGCCACUACCUCAUGUAGCAAAUAAAUCAUAGGUAUAUAACGGAUUGGAAAAUAGAAAUCUCACCAAGCAAGACCGGAUAUGUAGGACCCAGAUCUGGUUUUGAUGUCAAUUAUGUUGUGGCCGCUCCCAACCUUGAAGCAAUGGUCUAUCGUGGAAUUCUUCCAGCUGCAUAUGAACUAAGAUUUAGAAAUUUGGCAUGUAAUUACUUCUGCAAGUUGUUGAACACUCAAAUUUGAUAACAUAGUAAUUCCGCCAAAACAGAAUAACUAAUGACAAAUAGGCAAGAAUCGACAACAGCCCUGCAACAUACCUCAUCUUCUUUCAAGUGACCCUAGUUGUUCUUUAAUUAGUAGAAACACAUAACGGCGGCUCAGAUCAUAUUCCCUCUGUCCAAACAUAUGAACAUAAUUACAGGGUAAGCAAGACUUAUACGAUCAUGGCAUAAUCCACCAUUUUAUAUGGGGUGUGAUAGUUCAAACGGCAUGCCCCGAUAAUUUUCAAGUGUCAGAUUUUAUUUAGGGCCUGAAACAACCAGUGUUACGGCUCUAGGGUGCACAUGAUACAAGCAUCAAAAAACAUGGCAUUGCACCCUCUAGCAUAUAAUGCAAUCGACCUAUCAAGGAAAUAUAUCUGGCAAAGGUCAGUGUAAUCCAAACCUAGCUUAUGCAAACUGCAACCAAGAUAAACCUUGAUGAGCUUACCCAAUGGUGGUCGAUACAUGACUGUAAAAUUAAGAACCACUGAAUCUAAUUCAAACACAAAAGAACAAAGGAGAGCUUAUGAUAUCUUGCUAGCCACUGCAGCACCACCCCUCCAUUGCGACCUCCUCGUCGAUUCUGCAGCCGGCAGCCAUACUAAUGUGAGGAGAUAUGGGGGCGCGGGCUGGCGAACAGAGGAUGGGAACCCAUGCGGGGAGGCCGCGACGGCGUCAGCAACACAAAAGCGUUGUAGAUGUAUGCGGCUCGGUUUAGUCGCAGGGUCGUAUGUGGAGGAACUAAGGAUGUUGCAGCCUGACAUACAAUUAGUGAGGAAAACCAUUUUAAAUGAAACAAACUUAGGGAGGCUGUCAUUCUAAAAGAAUAGUACAAUUAGUUAGUGCAGCUAUGAGAUUCUCACACUGGAUCCACAAUGUCCGUUCCAUGCCAACAAGCAUCUGCCAACGUUACAUAUAAGUUUCUCUUAUUUAUUUUGUGUGUGGAAUUUACUUGAUAGUAUAACUUUGCAGUCGGUAUUUUCUAUAUAAAAUACACUCUGGCAUUUGAAAAGGUAGUCAAAAGAUUAAGAUUGUGAAAUGAGCCUUCCAAGGCUCAAAACGGAACCGGUAAAAUCUGGCAUAAGCUAGUGUUCAAAUCACUGACUAUCAGUGUGCACCGUUCAUUGGUACCAGACUAUUAGCUAUAUCAGGCUGUAAAGAAACACCAAACUCAUAUUCUUCCUGUAAGAGAACUCACAGGGAUAUGUAAACAAGAUGCAAACAUAGCAAACAUGUAUGUCCAGAUAAUCAAUUUCUGCAAAUUAAUCAUUGGAAAACAACACUGGAGCAACACCAUUCAAAGACAGUCAAACACCAACCUGCGAGUACGGAUGUACUAUGCUACCUCCAGAUUGUUGGAAGGGAUAGACUCCCAGGAUCUGGAAAACCUUGCCGCUCCAACCAAUCAAAGCAUACAAUGGUUAGCUUCAGAGCAUAAAUGAUGUAUGUAAUAGUUGAGAUAUAGCAAAAUAAAGAGAAUCAAACUGGGAGGGCCCUAGGAUGUUGUUCUGUAGGCAAUAAUGGAUUCGUGAAAUCUCUGGACAAGAAAAGAGAUUCACCACGCGUGACUAUCAUGUUAACUGAAACUACACAGUAACUGUCAAGCUUUAUAAAAGAUGCAAACCUUAGUAUUCGUUCAAGACUUGGCCUCACCUCCAUUUAGAUUCAAGCCUUAGAAUUCAAGGCAAAGACGUC
rnacentral:lncRNA from 1 species